rnacentral:rRNA from 1 species
UACGUAGGGCGCAAGCGUUGUCCGGAAUUAUUGGGCGUAAAGAGCUCGUAGGCGGUUUGUCGCGUCUGCUGUGAAAACCCGAGGCUCAACCUCGGGCCUGCAGUGGGUACGGGCAAACUAGAGUGCGGUAGGGGAGAAUGGAAUUCCUGGUGUAGCGGUGGAAUGCGCAGAUAUCAGGAGGAACACCGAUGGCGAAGGCAGUUCUCUGGGCCGUAACUGACGCUGAGGAGCGAAAGCUAGGGGAGCAAACGGG